rnacentral:rRNA from 1 species
GACGAACGCUGGCGGCGUGCUUAACACAUGCAAGUCGAACGGAAAGGCCCUGCUUUUGUGGGGUGCUCGAGUGGCGAACGGGUGAGUAACACGUGAGUAACCUGCCCUUGACUUUGGGAUAACUUCAGGAAACUGGGGCUAAUACCGGAUAGGAUCUCCUGCUGCAUGGUGGGGGUUGGAAAGUUUCGGCGGUUGGGGAUGGACUCGCGGCUUAUCAGCUUGUUGGUGGGGUAGUGGCUUACCAAGGCUGUGACGGGUAGCCGGCCUGAGAGGGUGACCGGCCACAUUGGGACUGAGAUACGGCGCAGACUCGUACGGGAGGCAGUAGUGGGGAAUAUUGCACAAUGGGCGGAAGCCUGAUGCAGCAACGCCGCGUGCGGGAUGACGGCCUUCGGGUUGUAAACCGCUUUCGCCUGUGACGAAGCGUGAGUGACGGUAAUGGGUAAAGAAGCACCGGCUAACUACGUG